AGAGCAAGCUGUGGAGUCUGCAGUCUGUCCAGAGAACAAGGAGUAGCAGGGUGCUCGGAGGGCUGGAUCUGGGUCCACAGAAGGCGAUGUCUCUCCUAUCUGUCAGACUGCUCUCUGAUUCAGGCCAGAAUACAGGGUGUGAAUAAAAUACUGUAAACUCAUGUGUUGGUGCCCUAUCAUCUGCAAAUGAAAAAGAAACAGUAAGAAAAGAACAAUGGUUUACACUUCAAUGUGAAGUAAACGUCUUCCAGACAGAAUAGAUAACAACCCAUCAAAAACCAUAAGCCCCCCAGGUGACGUCUGGAUUCAGCCUCCGGAGAUAUGCUUUUGUAUAAUCCACAUACUUCAAAUUCAACAUACA
rnacentral:lncRNA from 1 species